AGGUCCUGGACCCGUUAUACGGGAGGUAGAAAUUUGUAUUUAGAGGAGGUUUUGCCGAAUUCUCGUUCGAAUUUAUCCGAGUCGAAAUUCUUAGAUAGUAAGUCCUAGGAGUCUAGGCCUAGGGUUAUUUGUUAAAUGGUUUACUUUUAUUGAUUGAAUUGUUCCCGUGAUUAGAUAAUCCGUAAUUUCAGCUCGCUCCACUUGAGACUUAGGAGCAGAGCAAGGAGGUCGUCAAAACUGACCGCGGGCGCACCGGUAUGAAUCUGAGACAGGUAGAAAAAGAUAAAUUUGGGACUUACCCUGGUCGAGUUCAACUCUCUGGACUGUGUAGAGUGUGUUUGCCGGAGUAAAGGUCUAUGGUCGAGCGUUGCUCUUUAGGCGCCGGUAUUAUUAGAAAUUAAGUGACCAGACUGGAUUUAAGGACCUUGGUCGAGCUUCCCUCUUUGAGCGCCAGUCUUGUUGGAGUGAGAGAGCCUAAAGGCUAAGACUGUUAGUGUUGGGAGUUAGGGUUCUACUAAAGUAUUCGUCCCGUAGUAUGUAAAAUUUAUUUUAUAGAAGCAUGGCAUGACAUGUGUUUUUGCAUGACUUAGUAUUUUAUUUUAAUUAAAUGAAUGUUUAUUGAAGUGAUUGUAUUCGUUUUUGGAUAUAUAAUUUUAACUCACUCUCUCGACUGACAGUCUCAAA